CCCUUAGAUGUUCUGGGCCGCACACGCGCUACACUGAAGGAGGCAGCGUGUACUCCUGGAUCGAAAGAUUUGGGUAACCCGCGAAUCUCCUUCGUGCUAGGGAUUGAGGUUUGCAAUUAUCCUUCAUGAACGAGGAAUUCCCAGUAAGUGCAAGUCAUAAGCUUGCGCUGACUACGUCCCUGCCCUUUGUACACACUGCCCGUCGCUACUACCGAUUGAAUGAUUUAGUGAGGACUUCGGACUGGGACCGAUGCGGCUUUCGGGCUGCGUCGGUAUUCUGGAAAGAUGUCCAAACUGUAUCAUUUAGAGGAAGUAAAAGUCGUANCA
rnacentral:rRNA from 1 species